UGGGUUUGACAUCCCGGGAACCCUGUGGAAACACGGGGGUGCCUCUUCGGAGGAACCCGGUGACAGGUGCUGCAUGGCUGUCGUCAGCUCGUGUCGUGAGAUGUUGGGUUAAGUCCCGCAACGAGCGCAACCCUCGCCCUUAGUUGCCACCAUUAAGUUGGGCACUCUAAGGGGACUGCCGGUGACAAACCGGAGGAAGGUGGGGAUGACGUCAAGUCCUCAUGGCCCUUAUGCCCAGGGCUACACACGUGCUACAAUGGCCGGUACAAAGGGCAGCGAACCCGCGAGGGUAAGCAAAUCCCAAAAAGCCGGUCUCAGUUCGGAUCGGAGUCUGCAACUCGACUCCGUGAAGGCGGAAUCGCUAGUAAUCCCGGAUCAGCAUGCCGGGGUGAAUACGUUCCCGGGCCU
rnacentral:rRNA from 1 species